UACAGAGGUCCCAAGCGUUGUUCGGAUUUACUGGGCGUAAAGGGUGCGUAGGCGGUCGGAUAAGUCUGAUGUGAAAUCUCUGGGCUUAACCCAGAAAUGGCAUUGGAUACUAUUCGGCUUGAGGUCUGGAGGGGGGACUGGAAUUCUCGGUGUAGCAGUGAAAUGCGUAGAUAUCGAGAGGAACACCAGUGGCGAAGGCGAGUCUCUGGACAUUUCCUGACGCUGAGGCGCGAUAGCCAGGGGAGCAAACGGG
rnacentral:rRNA from 1 species